rnacentral:rRNA from 1 species
CCUACGGGCGGCAGCAGUGAGGAAUAUUGGUCAAUGGACGCGAGUCUGAACCAGCCAAGUAGCGUGAAGGAUGACUGCCCUCUGGGUUUUAAACUUCUUUUAUAUGGGAGUAAAAUGUUCCACGUGUGGGAUUUUGUAUGUACCAUAUAAAUAAGGAUCGGCUAACGCCGUGCCAGCAGCCGCGGUAAUACGGAGGAUCCGAGCGUGAUCCGGAUUUCUUGGGGUUAAAGGGAGCGUAGGGGGAUUGUUAAGUCAGUUUUGAAAGUUUGCGGCUCAACCGGAAAAUUGCAGUUGAUACUGGCAGUCUUGAGUACAGUAGAGGUGGGCGGAAUUCGUGGUGUAGCGGGGAAAUGCUUAGAUAUCACGAAGAACUCCGAUUGCGAAGGCAGCUCACUGGACUGCAACUGACACUGAGGCUCGAAAGUGUGGGGAUCAAACAGGAUUAGAUACCCGGGUAGUC